AUUGAACGCUGGCGGCAUGCCUUACACAUGCAAGUCGAACGGCAGCGCGGACUUCGGUCUGGCGGCGAGUGGCGAACGGGUGAGUAAAGCAUCGGAACGUACCCGGAAGUGGGGGAUAACGUAGCGAAAGUUACGCUAAUACAGCAUAUUCUGUGCGCAGGAAAGAGGGGGAUCUUCGGACCUCUUGCUUUCGGAGCGGCCGAUGUCAGAUUAGCUAGUUGGUGGGGUAAAGGCCUACCAAGGCGACGAUCUGUAGCGGGUGUGAGAGGAUGAGCCGCCACACUGGGACUGAGACACGUCCCAGACUCCUACGGGAGGCAGCAGUGGGGAAUUUUGGACAAUGGGCGCAAGCCUGAUCCAGCCAUGCCGCGUGAGUGAAGAAGGCCUUCGGGUUGUAAAGCUCUUUCGGCCGGGAAGAAAUCGCACUGGUUAAUACCUGGUGUGGAUGACGGUACCUUGAUAAGAAGCACCGGCUAACUACGUGCCAGCCGCCGCUGUAA
rnacentral:rRNA from 1 species